rnacentral:lncRNA from 1 species
CGGUGGUGAUAGGGCUUUACUGAGGAAGGCCACCAGGUGUUUGUCUUGGGUGAGAACGGCACCAAUACCCAAACUGCUUGCAUCAGUUUCCACAGUGAAUGGUUUAGUGAAAUCAGGGAGGGCUAACACUGGGGCUGAAAUAACUGCAAGUUUUAGUUGCUGGAAGGCGUGCUCCGCCGUCGGAGACCAAAUGAAAUUGUCCCGUCGUAGCAUAUCAGUAAGAGGACGAGCGAUUGUCCCGUAAUCCUUGAUAAAUCGACGAUAAUAACCGGAGAACCCGAGGAAGCGGCAAAGGGCUUUGAGAGUAUUAGGCUUGGGCCAGUC